rnacentral:rRNA from 1 species
AGUGAACGCUGGCGGUAGGCCUAACACAUGCAAGUCGAACGGCAGCACAGGAGAGCUUGCUCUCUGGGUGGCGAGUGGCGGACGGGUGAGGAAUACAUCCGAAUCUACUCCGUCGUGGGGGAUAACGUAGGGAAAAUUACGCUAAUACCGUAUACGACCUACGGGUGAAAGCAGGGGACCUUCGGGCCUUGAGCGAUUGAAUGAGCCGAUGUCGGAUUAGCUAGUUGGCGGGGUAAAGGCCCACCAAGGCGACGAUCCGUAGCUGGUCUGAGAGGAUGAUCAGCCACACUGGAACUGAGACACGGUCCAGACUCCUACGGGAGGCAGCAGUGGGGAAUAUUGGACAAUGGGCGCAAGCCUGAUCCAGCCAUACCGCGUGGGUGAAGAAGGCCUUCGGGUUGUAAAGCCCUUUUGUUGGGAAAGAAAUCCAGCUGGCUAAUACCCGGUUGGGAUGACGGUACCCAAAGAAUAAGCACCGGCUAACUUCGUGCCAGCCGCCGCCGUAA